UACGUAGGGUGCAAGCGUUUUCCGGAAUUAUUGGGCGUAAAGAGCUCGUAGGCGGUCUGUCACGUCGGCUGUGAAAACCCGAGGCUCAACCUCGGGCCUGCAGUCGAUACGGGCAAACUAGAGUACUGCAGGGGAGACUGGAAUUCCUGGUGUAGCGGUGAAAUGCGCAGAUAUCAGGAGGAACACCGGUGGCGAAGGCGGGUCUCUGGGCAGUAACUGACGCUGAGGAGCGAAAGCGUGGGGAGCGAACAGG
rnacentral:rRNA from 1 species